UCCUGGGCAAGGAUGGCAUCCCUGUGUAGCACUCGAAGCACAUUCUCUGGAGUUGCAGACCCAUAAUGAGCUUCUAAAACUUCAGUCUAGGUACACGAUGUACUCUGGAGGUAGAGAUUACUUCAGUGAUGAAAAGUGACCAUUGUUGAUUGUUGAUUUUGUACAAAGGUGAUCUUACUUCCUUCUGGAAGGAACAAGCAGACAAGGAGCAGGAUGGAGCAAGACAAGCUGGAGCCAGCAGGGCUGUAACCACCAGGAUGAUGAAGUCAGAGGCAUUCCUUCUGCCUCCUCUGUGGAGACAGGAGCAUGUGGGACACUAACAGACCUAAGUCUGUGUACGUGUGUAAUAAACUGUAUACACAAC